AGACCACCACAGGAGAAUGGUUCAAGCAGGAAGAUUAGAAUGAAUUUUACUGGAACGCUGAUCAGCUGAGUGUGUGUGAGGGAGGGGUGUGAUUUUUGAGUGAGAGUGCAGGAGGGCACACACACACACACACACAAACACACAGGUCAAAGCUAAUCUUCUUAGCCAACACAAGGUUCGACUGUUGGACAAAGUUCACAUUAUCAACAACAGCACAGUUCAAUAAAACACUGUCAGAGAGACAGCCAGACUCAAAGAGAAAGAAACUCUCUGUGGGGUUAUGGUGUGACUUUUGUAACUCAAAGUGGAUCCUUCAAGUUAGGUGGACUAAUACGUGGACAACUAUCUAACCGUCAGACAUCGAUGGUUGAGAAACGGACCUGGAACGACAUCUACACCAGAAUAGUGUUGGUAGUAACCUGCAGGACUUGUUUAUUCAAAACUAUAAGGAGGGAAAUCUAAAAGCCAGUCGUAUGGAGGUGCUGAGUGGCCCCUGGGCUGAUUUGGCUCUGAUGCUACGACAGACCAUCACACAUACAGAUGAGGGAACAGCCAUCUUUCCUCUUCUCUGGCUCUUUGGUCUAUUCCUGUUUCUUUCUGUGUCUGCGUUGCUGCUGCUGCUAAUCACCUAUUUCUGCUGGAAACUCAGGCAGAUUGAGACUGAACUCUCCACGUUUCCACGGGACCGAAGCGCCAUCUAUGCACAGGUGCAUGAAAGUGCAUACCUGAGGAGGAGGAGGCGCAGCGGCUCUGAUGUCCACUGCUGAACUGAAAAACUAUAGUUUUAAGCAUUUAACGGGACUUGAACCGAGUCAUGUGGUGAAACGACUUCAUUGGAAAUCAUUGUUUUGACAAUACAACUGCUACCCAUCAAAAUCGAAAACGUAGUCAACAUAUCACACAUUUGUAAAUUAUUUUAACUGUCUUGGACAUUUUUAAUAAAUGUUUUUUAUUA